ensembl:lncRNA
ACCUGUUGGACAAAUAACAUCCACUGAAGGUCUCCAGAUGACAGAGAUGCUCUCUGCAGAUCCUCUGCAGGUGUAGGCCUUUUCACCCCCUCUGGGACGCCUACUCACUUACAUUAUUAAUCCAAGCAAAAGAGUAUGUCUGCUCUGAGCAGCCUGUCGUCAUGUUACACACCCUGAGACGAGGCAGUGGCUCCUUAAGUCGCCCAGUUCAGGCAACACGUGCGACGUGAACUUUUGAACUUUUCAGAACGCUGGAGCGAUAGAUUCUUUGAAAAUGUGAUGUCAAUGAAUCCCAUACGGCUGAAGUUAACACAGGAUGAAACAGAUUUGUCUGUGGUCCACUGGUCUUCGUCUCCUCACCAGAAGAAGCUGGGCAGGUGUUUGUGAUGACAUUUCACUGUAUGUCCUCUGAAAUAGUGAUUAG